ACAACCCCGCUUCGAAUCUAGAGAGAGAAAGAGACGCAUCUCCAUCGCUUCGCUCUUGCUUGUUUAUUUGCCUUGCCCUCUGAUUAUGAUGACUGUGGCGGUUCUGAUGAAUCGAUAGAGAUGAAGAUGGUGAGGUUGUGGUAGCAGGUAAGUGAUUAUGAUUAUCUGACCUUGGUGGUGUUUUCCAUACUAUACAGAAAACCCUAGCUGUCGCCUCCGGCGAUGGCGGCUAGGGUUACUCCGAUGAAGCUCCGAAAUUUUAGAGUGAGACGGAUAGGUUUCAAUUGGUGAUCUCCGGUUGGAUAUUCUUCAAGACAGAGCAUUUGUCUCUACUGCAUGACGCUUAAUGGCGAGACAUAUGAGAGCCCUAAGUACUACACGACGCUCCAGCAGGCGGAACAUUUAGCGGCUGAGGUGGCUCUGGAUGCACUCGCGAAUCGUGGUCUGUCGAAUACAUUGGCUACUCGGAUAUUGUGACAAAUUUGCGUUUCCUUGAAUCACCAGCUGUAGUUGGUUUAUUCAUAUUCAAACACUUCAUCAGAUUUGUACAUUGUUGGUGAUGCAAAAGCUGGUAAAAGCCCCACAAUUUUGGCAAAAG